rnacentral:rRNA from 1 species
CACGGGGGGAGCAAGCGUUGUUCGGAAUCACUGGGCGUAAAGGGUGCGUAGGUGGGCUGGUAAGUCAGUGGUGAAAUCUCCAGGCUUAACUUGGAAACUGCCAUUGAUACUAUCAGUCUUGAAUACCGUGGAGGUCAGCGGAAUAUGUCAUGUAGCGGUGAAAUGCUUAGAUAUGACAUAGAACACCAAUUGCGAAGGCAGCUGGCUACACGAAUAUUGACACUGAUGCACGAAAGCGUGGGGAUCAAACAGG